GCAAGGCUAAAACUCAAAUGAAUUGACGGGGGCCCGCACAAGCGGUGGAGCAUGUGGUUUAAUUCGAUGCAACGCGAAGAACCUUACCUACCCUUGACAUCCAGAGAAUCUGUUAGAGAUAGUAGAGUGCCUUCGGGAACUCUGAGACAGGUGCUGCAUGGCUGUCGUCAGCUCGUGUUGUGAAAUGUUGGGUUAAGUCCCGUAACGAGCGCAACCCUUAUCCUUAGUUGCCAGCACGUAAUGGUGGGAACUCUAGGGAGACUCCCGGUGAUAAACCGGAGGAAGGUGGGGACGACGUCAAGUCAUCAUGGCCCCUAUGGGUAGGGCUACACACGUGCUACAAUGGCCAGUACAGAGGGCUGCGAACUUGCGAAAGUAAGCGAAUCCCAGAAAGCUGGUCUUAGUCCGGAUUGGAGUCUGCAACUCGACUCCAUGAAGUUGGAAUCGCUAGUAAUCGCGAAUCAGAAUGUCGCGGUGAAUACGUUCCCGGGCCUUGUACACACCGCCCGUCACACCAUGGGAGUGGGUUGCAAAAGAAGUGGGUAGACUAACCCUCGGGAGGUCGCUCACCACUUUGUGAUUCAUGACUGGGGUGAAGUCGUAACAAGGUA
rnacentral:rRNA from 1 species